rnacentral:rRNA from 1 species
CAGUCGCCACGGUAAUACGUAGGUGGCAAGCGUUGUCCGGAUUUACUGGGCGUAAAGCGAACGCAGGCGGACUGUUAAGUAGGAAGUGAAAGGUAGGAGCUCAACUCCAACAUUGCUUCCUAUACUGGCAGUCUUGAGUAGCGGAGAGGAAGGGGGAACGACACGUGUAGCGGUGAAAUGCGUUGAUAUGUGUCGGAACACCCAUGGCGAAAGCACCCUUCUGGACGCAAACUGACGCUCAGGUUCGAAAGCCAAGGUAGCGAACAGGAUUAGAUACCCCUGUAGUCCCUGUCUCUUAUAU